UUGCACAGUAAACACUCAAGUGUGCUUUGUAGUUGUCUUGGUUUUAACUCUGUGCUCGAGCAAUGCCUCUUCUUUAUCUUUGCAUCGAAAGGACUAUCCUUUUAAGUGUAUUAACAGAAUCAGUACAUUA